UGCACUUCGGCAACCCUGCUUCUUCUCGCAGUGUUUAGGGCCAGAAGCGUCUUCAGUUCAGUAUAGCGCAUUUGUAACGGUACUGUCUACCAAACGACCUGGCUUUUGAAAGUAGGCUAAUGACGAGAAGACUGAACUGAAUAUGAAAUACAACGACAGAAAAUGGCAGGUCUGUUCAAAGGACCUUCCUCAGUUGAUGGCGCACGAACACCUGCUACAGCCGCACUUUUGCUGAGUCUUGGGCAGAAAGCUCUCAAGGCCCCAGUACUCCCAGCACACCCGAUGCAGAGACACUGCCCAGUGCAUUGUGGGCCACACAGCGGUAAGUUCCCGCAUCCCCUGGUGCGAGGCCCUCGAUCUGGAGCCAGCUGGACAGCUCGUACUUCUGGGGACCCCC